rnacentral:rRNA from 1 species
AUUGAACGCUGGCGGCAGGCCUAACACAUGCAAGUCGAACGGUAACAGGAAGAAGCUUGCUUCUUUGCUGACGAGUGGCGGACGGGUGAGUAAUGUCUGGGAAACUGCCUGAUGGAGGGGGAUAACUACUGGAAACGGUAGCUAAUACCGCAUAACGUCGCAAGACCAAAGAGGGGGACCUUCGGGCCUCUUGCCAUCGGAUGUGCCCAGAUGGGAUUAGCUAGUAGGUGGGGUAACGGCUCACCUAGGCGACGAUCCCUAGCUGGUCUGAGAGGAUGACCAGCCACACUGGAACUGAGACACGGUCCAGACUCCUACGGGAGGCAGCAGUGGGGAAUAUUGCACAAUGGGCGCAAGCCUGAUGCAGCCACGCCGCGUGUAUGAAGAAGGCCUUCGGGUUGUAAAGUACUUUCAGCGGGGAGGAAGGGAGUAAAGUUAAUACCUUUGCUCAUUGACGUUACCCGCAGAGGAAGCACCGGCUAACUCCGUG